AGUGAACGCUGGCGGUAGGCCUAACACAUGCAAGUCGAACGGCAGCACAGUAAGAGCUUGCUCUUACGGGUGGCGAGUGGCGGACGGGUGAGGAAUACAUCGGAAUCUACUUUUUCGUGGGGGAUAACGUAGGGAAACUUACGCUAAUACCGCAUACGACCUACGGGUGAAAGCAGGGGAUCUUCGGACCUUGCGCGAUUGAAUGAGCCGAUGUCGGAUUAGCUAGUUGGCGGGGUAAAGGCCCACCAAGGCGAUGAUCCGUAGCUGGUCUGAGAGGAUGAUCAGCCACACUGGAACUGAGACACGGUCCAGACUCCUACGGGAGGCAGCAGUGGGGAAUAUUGGACAAUGGGCGCAAGCCUGAUCCAGCCAUACCGCGUGGGUGAAGAAGGCCCUCGGGUUGUAAAGCCCUUUUGUUGGGAAAGAAAAGCAGCAGGUUAAUACCCCGCUGUUCUGACGGUACCCAAAGAAUAAGCACCGGCUAACUUCGUG
rnacentral:rRNA from 1 species